GUGUUUUAUGAAAGUGAAGAAUUAGGUUAGCACUGAUCUUGACAAGAAGGGAAAGAAUUCCAGUGACACCAGACACAUACAUUUAAGGUAUCACCGCCUCUUUAGAGCACCUACCAGAACUUUUU